GAGGAAGCUGAAGGAUUGGCUGGCCACCCCAGAGUGUCUCCUCAGCAGUGCUCAGAGCCUGAGACUAAAUGGUCCUCCACCAAGGCCUCACAUCCACAAAAGAAGGGAGCCCCCACUCGAGGCAUAACACCGUGGUCAGAUGGUCUUAGCACUGGCUUGGGGCCCGAACUCAGCAGUACCAAGCCACCCACUGAUGGUUCUCAAAGACCCCAGGAAGGGAAGGACAAACAGGUGUCAUCAGAGAGCGAUCCUGAGGGUCCCAUUGCUGCCCAGAUGCUGUCAUUUGUCAUGGAUGACCCUGACUUUGAAAGCGAUGAGUCGGACACCCAGAAGAGAGUGGUAAGGAGAGGCUGCUGCGUGGGCAGCUCGGGCUCCAUCCUUCGAGAGAUGGAGGACAGUCAAGGUCUGUUUCCCAGAGGAGGGUCUGAGGAGAUGCAGGAGAAUGUUCUGGGCUCCAGUUCCCCACUGCACAGCCCUUUCUUAUUUACUGUGUGUCUGAAGCCUGAUGGAGAAAGUGAAUGAGAGUUCAUGGGAGGGGGCCCAUUGUCUACAUGAAGGCACUGCUGGUAUUUCUGAAUCUGGGUCAGCUUAGCCCCUCCCAUCUGGCCCCAUCCCUAGCCCCUGGAGUCCGAAGUGGACUUGCCAACCUCUCUUCCCAGAUCCCAUGUAGUGGUCAGGGGACAAUAGGCCUACCAACUGCUCUCUUUCCAGGGCAGGUUCCCAGUAAGAGAAGACCUCUCUGAUGUAACUGAUGAGGAUACUGGCCCUGCUCAGCCACCCCCACCCUCCAAGUUCCCAGUCCCUGCUUUCAGGCUGAAGAAUGACUCAGAUCUCUUUGGGCUGGGCCUGGAGGAGCUGGGACCCAAGGAAAGCAGUGAGGAAGAUAAAGACAGCAAACUUCCCUCCAAGGAGAAGAAGAAAAAGAAGAAGAAAAGCAAAGAGGAGGAAGAAAAGGCUACAAAAAAGAAAAGCAAACAUAAGAAGAGCAAGGAUAAGGAAGAGGGCAAGGAGGAUGGGAAGAAGAGGAGGAAGCCCCCUCGGAGCAAAGAGCAAAAGGCUGCGGAUGAGCUGGAAGCCUUCCUGGGGGGCGGGGCCCCUGGCAGCCGCCACCCUGCGGGUGGGGACUAUGAGGAGCUCUAGACAUACCCGGGCAGUUGACUGUCUGAGAAGAGGUGGGCUGCUGUCUAUGCUCCCACAUUCCCAGGACCACCCUGCCACCUACGACCCUCAGCCAUUAUGUCUGCCCCUCUGUGGUCUGGCCCACUCUACAUUGAUUUUUGUGCUGGAGACCUUGGUGGUAAUCAGGCCCUUGGGUCCGGAGCUGCAGGUGCUGGGCCUCAACCCAGCAGAAGCCUGCUCUGCAGGGAGGGAGGGGACAGAAUAAAGUUGCAGCUGGCUUGGUGGACCAUCUG
rnacentral:lncRNA from 1 species